rnacentral:lncRNA from 1 species
UCGUCUAUUGCCACGUCCAUGGUAAUGCUUUUGUCUUCUUUCAGACUUACCAUAUACUGCAUUCACAUUCUCUAAAGGGAAUGGAGCAACUUCAAUGGGACGAGAUUCUUUGCCCAUAAUCAUACAUGAAUUUAAUCAUGACAGGACAUAGAGAUUUUACCACUUCGUGUGGUUAAAAUUUCUUACAAACUCCAUUAGAGUUA